rnacentral:rRNA from 1 species
UACGUAGGGACCGAGCGUUGUCCGGAAUCAUUGGGCGUAAAGAGCGUGUAGGCGGCCUUUUAAGUCCUGCGUGAAAUCCUGCGGCUCAACCGCAGACGGUCGUGGGAAACUGGAAGGCUAGAGUGCGGGAGAGGAGAGUGGAAUUCCCGGUGUAGCGGUGAAAUGCGCAGAUAUCGGGAGGAACACCAAUGGCGAAGGCAGCUCGCUGGGACGGUACUGACGCUGAGACGCGAAAGCGUGGGGAGCAAACAGG